GACGGCUACAGCGCUGUCUGAGACUCUGGAGGAGCACAGCCUCUACCUUCCUCUCCUGCUUUCCUUGUAGGGUAAAGAGAUCUAACAAAAAUAGAGAGGAUAAAUAAAAUAAGGGUGGAUAGAUACAUAGAAAGGGGGAUGAUAUAUAGGUAGAUAGAUAGAAAAGGGGAUGAUAUAUAGGUAGAUAGAUAGAAAGGGGGAUGAUAUAUAGGUAGAUAGAUAGAAAAGGGGAUGAUAUAUAGGUAGAUAGAUAGAAAAGGGGAUGAUAUAUAGGUAGAUAGAUAGAAAAGGGGAUGAUAUAUAGGUAGAUAGAUAGAAAAGGGGAUGAAAUAUAGGUAGAUAGAUAGA